GACGAACGCUGGCGGCGUGCUUAACACAUGCAAGUCGAGCGGUAAGGCCCUUUCGGGGGUACGACGAGCGGCGAACGGGUGAGUAACACGUGGGUGACCUGCCCUCAGCUCUGGGAUAAGCCUGGGAAACCGGGUCUAAUACUGGAUAUGACUCCAUGACGCAUGUUGUGGGGUGGAAAGCCUUGUGCGGCUGAGGAUGGGCCCGCGGCCUAUCAGCUUGUUGGUGGGGUGACGGCCUACCAAGGCGACGACGGGUAGCCGGCC
rnacentral:rRNA from 1 species